CACAUGCAAGCAUCAGCACACCCGUGAGGACGCCCUUAAUACCUUAAUAGGCUAAGGAGCUGGUAUCAGGCACAGAACUCUUGCCCAUAACACCUAGUUUACCACGCCCACAAGGGUAAUCAGCAGUGAUAAAUAUUGAAAAUGAGCUCAAGCUCAAUUCACUUAGAGAAAUUAGGGUUGGCAAACCUGGUGCCAGCCGCCGCGGAUAAACCAUAUGAACCCAAGUUGAUAGUUAUCGGCGUCAAGCGUGGUUAAAUUUCCUUCCCCAAUAGAACAGAACUAGCCAGUAACUGUGACAAGUGACUACCGCCAAGGAACCCAAUGACGAAAGUAGUUCUAUAGAAUAUUGAACCCACGACAACUAGGAAACAAACUGAGAUUCGGGACCUCAUUAUG
rnacentral:rRNA from 1 species